UAGGGAAUCUUCGGCAAUGGACGAAAGUCUGACCGAGCAACGCCGCGUGAGUGAAGAAGGUUUUCGGAUCGUAAAACUCUGUUGUUAGAGAAGAACAAGGAUGAGAGUAGAAUGUUCAUCCCUUGACGGUAUCUAACCAGAAAGCCACGGCUAACUACGUGCCAGCAGCCGCGGUAAUACGUAGGUGGCAAGCGUUGUCCGGAUUUAUUGGGCGUAAAGCGAGCGCAGGCGGUUUCUUAAGUCUGAUGUGAAAGCCCCCGGCUCAACCGGGGAGAGUCAUUGGAAACUGGGAAACUUGAGUGCAGAAGAGGAGAGUGGAAUUCCAUGUGUAGCGGUGAAAUGCGUAGAUAUAUGGAGGAACACCAGUGGCGAAGGCGGCUCUCUGGUCUGUAACUGACGCUGAGGCUCGAAAGCGUGGGGAGCAAACAGG
rnacentral:rRNA from 1 species